GACGAACGCUGGCGGCGGGCUUAACACAUGCAAGUCGAACGGAAAGGCCCAGCAGUUGUGGGUUGCUCGAGUGGCGAACGGGUGGGUAACAAGUGAGUAACCUGCCCUUGGCUUUGGGAUAACUUCAGGAAACUGGGGCUAAUACCGGAUAGGAGCGCCUGCUGCAUGGUGGGGGUUGGAAAGUUUCGGCGGUUGGGGAUGGACUCGCGGCUUAUCAUAGUGUGGGUGGGGUAGUGGCUUACCAAGGCUUUGACGGGUAGCCGGCCUGUGAGGGUGACCGGCCACAUUGGGACUGAGGUACGGCCCAGACUCCUACGGGAGGCAGCAGUGGGGAAUCUUGCGCAAUGGGCGGAAGCCUGAUGCAGCAACGCCGCGUGCGGGAUGACGGCCUUCGGGUUGUAAACCGCUUUCGCCUGUGACGAAGCGUGAGUGACGGUAAUGGGUAAAGAAGCACCGGCUAACUACGUG
rnacentral:rRNA from 1 species